CUCAGUUCGGAUUGGAGUCUGNAACCCGACUCCAUGAAGCUGGAUUCGCUAGUAAUCGCGCAUCAGCCACGGCGCGGUGAAUACGUUCCCGGGCCUUGUACACACCGCCCGUCAAGCCAUGGAAGCCGGGGGGUGCCUGAAGUGCGCUGCCGCAAGGAGCGUCCUAGGGUAAAACCGGUGACUGGGGCUAAGUCGUAACAAGGUACC
rnacentral:rRNA from 1 species